CACGUAGGGUGCGAGCGUUGUCCGGAAUUAUUGGGCGUAAAGAGCUCGUAGGCGGUGUGUCGCGUCGGCCGUGAAAACCUGCAGCUUAACUGUGGGCUUGCGGUCGAUACGGGCAUCACUGGAGUUCGGCAGGGGAGACUGGAAUUCCUGGUGUAGCGGUGAAAUGCGUAGAGAUCGUAAGGAAGACCAGUGGCGAAGGCGAGUUUCUGGACAGUUACUGACGCUGAGGCACGAAGGCCAGGGGAGCAAACGGG
rnacentral:rRNA from 1 species